rnacentral:rRNA from 1 species
AGCGAACGCUGGCGGCAGGCUUAACACAUGCAAGUCGAGCGGGCGUACGAAUACGUCAGCGGCAGACGGGUGAGUAACGCGUGGGAACGUACCUUUUGGUUCGGAACAACACAGGGAAACUUGUGCUAAUACCGGAUAAGCCCUUACGGGGAAAGAUUUAUCGCCGAAAGAUCGGCCCGCGUCUGAUUAGCUAGUUGGUAGGGUAAUGGCCUACCAAGGCGACGAUCAGUAGCUGGUCUGAGAGGAUGAUCAGCCACAUUGGGACUGAGACACGGCCCAAACUCCUACGGGAGGCAGCAGUGGGGAAUAUUGGACAAUGGGGGCAACCCUGAUCCAGCCAUGCCGCGUGAGUGAUGAAGGCCCUAGGGUUGUAAAGCUCUUUUGUGCGGGAAGAUAAUGACGGUACCGCAAGAAUAAGCCCCGGCUAACUUCGUGC